CAAAACUACCAGCUGACCCUAAUAUCUUCUUACAUCAGAUGAGGAUUUUUGGCUGGCUCAUGGUCCUAUCAGCUAAAGAUCACCCUUCUUGGCCUCCCCUGCAAGGAGUAUGGUAAUGUAAAGUAAAGCUAAUAAAGGAACCCAAGGAUUGCAUUGUAUCUUGCCUGUACUUCCUGCCUUCAAGAUUCUCUGCACCAGGUUAUGAUCUGGAGUAUUCCUGAGCCUGGGAAGCCAACAGACUGUCUAUGUUUGUCCGGUGGCUGGAGCCCAGCUGGUGACUGCGGUGGUAUGGAAAGAAGGGGCCUGUUUGUUGAAGCCAAGGUGCUGGAAGAACUGCCUGUGUCGUACUGACAAGCCAAAGACUUCCACUGUCUGACUUGAAUCUCGCUGAUUUUUUCC
rnacentral:lncRNA from 1 species